AGGAGAUGGAAGAGCAGCUCUAGUUCUGCACAUGUACCCCAGAACUUAAAGUAUAAUUAAAAAAAGAAAAGAGAGAAAAAAUGGCUUCUGCAACCCCCAAAAAAGAAAAAAAGGCUUGUCAGGUGUUUGGUGAUAUCAGUGGCUUAAAGCUUGUCCACAGUGAAGUGAUCACAGCUAUUCAGGAGCAUAUAAGCAAAACGGACAGCAUCCUGGGAGGCUCGUUUGACAUUUAAUUGAGAGACAUGAAAAGAACCCGUUAAAAUAAAAAGGAAAUUGGUGGCCCCAGUGGAAGGAUGAGUAAAGAAAAGCAAUAUUUUCUGCACCUGAAGAAUGCCCAUGGCCACAGUAUAUUUUCUAAUCCGAGGCAUCUUCUACUACAUUAUUGCGAAGCAUGAGUUCAAUAUUCUAAAAUAGAAGUCUGCAGAGUUUAUUUUGUUACUGUUAUUGAUUUUCUAUAUUUGUUUUCCCUGCCAUUGAACUUCUC
rnacentral:ncRNA from 2 species